ACCAAAUCCUAUAUGGGUGGAGAAGGCCAUGACAUGAGCGGUAACGAGGGACUCGUCUUCUAGAGAUGAGACAAAAAGAGGUGGAUUACGUCCAAGUCAAUAUGAUCUCCAACUUAGAUAAAUUCUAUUCAUUGUAAAUACCAAUUCACAAGCUUAAUGACAAAAACUAUUUGAUAUGAUCCAAUGAACGAAUGCAAGUUCGAACAAGGAUCCAUUGAUAGUUGAACAAGGUUUAUACUAGGUCGCGAGCGAAGAGAGUCAAAGAAGCGAUGGAACUAUUUGUUCAAGCUACUGUGAAUGAAACAUCGAUCAUGACAAAAAAAGGAAGAGUUUCAUGUCGAGCUCACGAGAAGAAUCAUGUCGAAUCAACAUGAUUCAAGCAAUGAAAGAAGGAGACGAACCAAAUAACUAUGCAACCACAUAAUCAUACAAGCUAUGCGAUCACAUUGACCUAGCCAGACACUCAAGAGGCAGAAAACUCUUGAGCUAUGUGACCACAUGAGAGAGUAACAUGUGACCGCAUAGUACAUUGUCGGCAUGAGAUUUUUUCCAAUUUAGCGUAUUCAAAAUUCUAUUUCAUUGCAACUAUAUGACUCAUUAUUUUACAUUGUAAACAACUUUUAUUCAUAUAUCAAUAGAGACUAUUUUGUGCACAAGUUUGCUUUCAAUUUUUUUGCUCUUCAUUGAACUAAUUUUACGAACUUAUCAAGAGUUAUUUCUUGUGGCAUUCAAAUAAUUCGGGCACGGUUCUUGAAUCUUGUAACCUCGGGAUCAA
rnacentral:lncRNA from 1 species